UACGUAGGUGGCAAGCGUUGUCCGGAUUUACUGGGCGUAAAGAGCGCGCAGGCGGCUGAUUAAGUCGAAAUGUGAAAGCCCCCGGCUCAACUGGGGAGGGUCAUUCGAUACUGAUCAACUUGAAGGCAGGAGAGGGUAGUGGAAUUCCCGGUGGAGCGGUGAAAUGCGUAGAUAUCGUCUGGAACGCCAAUGGGUGAAAAACAGCUCGCUGGGGAGUGAUCUGACACUGAGACGCGAAAGCCAGGGGAGCGAACGGG
rnacentral:rRNA from 1 species